AUACGGAGGGGGUUAGCGUUGUUCGGAUUACUGGGCGUAAAGACGCGCGUAGGCGGUUUGUUAAGUGUGAUGUGAAAGCCCAGGGCUCAACCUUGGAACUGCAUCACAUACUGGCAGGCUAGAGUACGGUAGAGGGGGGUAGAAUUCCACGUGUAGCGGUGAAAUGCGUAGAGAUCUGGAGGAACAUCAAUGGCGAAGGCAACUCCCUGGCCAAAGACUGACGCUCAUGUGCGAAAGUGUGGGUAGCGAACAGGAUUAGAUACCCUGGUAGUCCACACCGUAAACGCUGUCUACUAGCUGUUUGUGGAUUUAAUCCGUGAGUAGCGAAGCUAACGCGAUAAGUAGACCGCCUGGGGAGUACGGCCGCAAGGUUAAAACUCAAAUGAAUUGACGGGGGCCCGCACAAGCGGUGGAGCAUGUGGUUUAAUUCGAUGCAACGCGAAGAACCUUACCUACUCUUGACAUACUAGAAACUUUUUCAGAGAUGAAUUGGUGCCUUCGGGAAUCUAGAUAC
rnacentral:rRNA from 1 species